rnacentral:rRNA from 1 species
AGUACGGCCGCAAGGCUAAAACUCAAAGGAAUUGACGGGGGCCCGCACAAGCGGCGGAGCAUGCGGAUUAAUUCGAUGCAACGCGAAGAACCUUACCAAGGCUUGACAUAUAGAGGAAAAGUGUAGAAAUACACUCCCCGCAAGGUCUCUAUACAGGUGGUGCAUGGUUGUCGUCAGCUCGUGUCGUGAGAUGUUGGGUUAAGUCCCGCAACGAGCGCAACCCUCGUCCUAUGUUGCCAGCACGUAACGGUGGGAACUCAUGGGAUACUGCCGGGGUCAACUCGGAGGAAGGUGGGGAUGACGUCAAAUCAUCAUGCCCCUUAUGUCUUGGGCUUCACGCAUGCUACAAUGGCCGGUACAGAGGGCAGCAAUACCGCAAGGUGGAGCGAAUCCCACAAAGCCGGUCUCAGUUCGGAUUGAGGUCUGCAACUCGACCUCAUGAAGUUGGAGUCGCUAGUAAUCGUGGAUCAGCAACGCCACGGUGAAUACGUUCCCGGGCCUUGUACACACCGCCCGUCACACCAUGGGAGUGGGUUUCACCAGAAGUAGUUAGCCUAACCGCAAGGGGGGCGAUUACCACGGUGGGAUUCAUGACUGGGGUGAAGUCGUAACAAGGUAACCAAGGGCGAA